CCCAUCCUCUCCCAGGCUCCAGGAUGGUGGUCUUGAGGAUCGCUGGGGUCCCAGGGAUGGCAGCUCUCGUGAUGUCCUUGGUGAUGCUGAGCUCCCCUCUGGUUCAGAGCAGAGACACUCCAGGUCCAAGAUAUGUGCUCCUAGGAAACUGAAGAUACAGAGACCAAGGAAAGGCCCUGGAGUCAAAAAGAAGGCACCAGAAAUGUCUAACACACACAGGAGGUGGUCUUCCCAGCAAAUGGUGUUGCCCCCAGAGGAGGAUCAGUGAGAAGUCAAAGGAUACCCUAAGGAGAUGUCAUUUCACUCUCCAGCUCUCCACAGUGCUCUGAACUCCUAAGACAGUGAGGCCCAGGAACAAGAUGAUGAAAGUUGAAGGUGGUAGGAGUUGGGCACAAUAUGUGAAGCUCCUCUUAAAGGGGCACCAGUAACCCUUCAAUACUAGCCCAGUGGAUACUUACCUUAGUUGCCAGAUUAUAAACAUCUAACAUUCAUUAAUUAUUUCCUUGUUCCUGAAAUUUCUG
rnacentral:lncRNA from 1 species